rnacentral:tmRNA from 3 species
GGGGGCGUACUGGUUUCGACGGGGAUCGUCGGGGGUUCAGGAAGCGAGCCGCGGCCCCGAACCGCGUUAAAAUCGGGAUGAAAAGUAACUGAGAACGAUACCAAUAACGCUUUGGCGUUCGCGGCCUAAUGCCGCGCGUCGGACUCAAGCGCCUACUGCUUGAACCCCCGGCGUCAUCGAAGUAGGGAACGGGCCCGCCUAAGCUUUGCGGCGCGGCCGGCAUGAUGAAGCUACCGACGCGCUGAUCCCGUCUGUGGGAGCUGUGCGAAGGGAAGAAUAAAUCGCAGACUGCGCUCGGAGAUGCCUGGGCUUUCGGAUUUUCGGACGGGGGUUCGAUUCCCCCCGCCUCCACCA